rnacentral:rRNA from 1 species
UACGUAGGGUGCGAGCGUUGUCCGGAAUUAUUGGGCGUAAAGGGCUCGUAGGCGGUUUGUCGCGUCGGGGAGUGAAAACACCGGGCUUAACUCGGUGCUUGCUUCCGAUACGGGCAGACUAGAGGCAUGCAGGGGAGAACGGAAUUCCUGGUGUAGCGGUGAAAUGCGCAGAUAUCAGGAGGAACACCGGUGGCGAAGGCGGUUCUCUGGGCAUGUCCUGACGCUGAGGAGCGAAAGUGUGGGGAGCGAACAGG